rnacentral:rRNA from 1 species
UACGGGGGGAGCAAACGUUGUUCGGAAUCACUGGGCGUAAAGGGAGCGUAGGCGGCCAUGUAAGUGAGGUGUUAAAUCCCCCGGCUCAACCGGGGACCUGCACCUCAUACUGCACGGCUUGAGUACAUCAGAGGAGACUGGAAUUCCCGGUGUAGCGGUGAAAUGCGUAGAGAUCGGAAAGAACACCAACGGCGAAAGCACUCUGCUGGGCCGACACUGACACUGAGAGACGAAAGCUAGGGGAGCGAAUGGG